rnacentral:tRNA from 1 species
AGACGCAUAGCUAAGUUGGUUAGAGCACUACGUUGACAUCGUAGGGGUCACUGGUUCGAGUCGAGUUGUGUCAA